UACGUAGGUGGCAAGCGUUACUCGGAAUCACUAGGCGUAAAGCGCAGGUAGGCGGUUUGGUAAGUCUCUUGUGAAAGCUCCUGGCUUAACUGGGAGAGGUCAAGGGAAACUGCCGGGCUAGAGUGUGGUAGAGGAAGCUGGAAUUCCCGGUGUAGCGGUGAAAUGCGUAGAUAUCGGGAGGAAUACCUAUGGCGAAAGCAGGCUUCUGGGCCAUCACUGACGCUGAUCUGCGAAAGCUAGGGGAG
rnacentral:rRNA from 1 species